GCGUCCGCGCGAGAGGCCGGGCUGGGCCGCGCCCCUCCGGGAACUAGACGCAAGGGGCGUGGCCAAGUGCCAAGUUCCGCCCACCACUGCGGCCAAAGUGGGAGGGGGCCCUGCAGGCUAUCAGGUAAAGAAGAUAUAUUUUGAAGGAAAAAAUAGCUGAGCCACUGAGAAAAAGAAGAGCCAAGAGAUCACAUCCUGGCUGCAGUUAUGGAGGACGGUAAAUGAGGUAUUAAAAUUUGAGAAUAUGGCACAAAAUACACAUAAUUGAAUUUUAUUUAGGGCCUAGAUGGAGUCCUAACAGGGAAUUUAGUUGAACCAGAUAUCUAGCUUAUACUGAAUUUUGUUCAUUUUGUUUUUGUUUUUGUUUUUGGUUGGAGUGUGAAAUAGGAAGUCUUCUCUAUACACCUGGUUAAAAUAUCUGAAUAUGCAUAAUUCUUUUAGAAAGGGGAGCAUAAACUGGAAAUGACCACAAUCAAAACUAUAAGCCUUAUUAUUGCUAAAGCAGCAAUCAAUCAAUGACCUGAAGGGCAAAUCCAAGAUUGGCAGACAUGUAGAGAUGCAGUGAAGGGGGAGGUGGUGAGCCAGGCAGCAACCCAGAGAAAAAGCGAUCUGACCAGUGGAAAUCUUCUAGAACAGGAAGUGGAUGACAUCUGCCCUUGACAGUUUUUAAGAUCAGAUAAAGCUCAGAUAGGAAAAAAACUAGCCAUCACAGGGCUCUGAAGAAAAAAAAAAAAAGGCACAGAAGAUCUUUCCCAAAAUAACUUCGUGGCAAAUAUCUUACUCUGACACUUAACAGCAUCCAUUGACAACGCAGCAAUCUGUCCUUUGGAUGACAAAGGGAAAUACAAACCAAUCUGAUAACCAAGCUAGUUAUCUAGCCAUUCUAAUAAAUGCAAAAGCUUAAAAAACGUAUGUUAUUAGGAGCUGGAUAAGGAAAUUAACAGUGCUGCUCCCUAGCCCUGACAGCAAUUGCUAGGAUCUCAAGACCCUCCUCGGAAAGGAAACCUGUUUUCAUGGUAACUAGAAGCAAAGAAAAGAGCUAAAAAUCAAGACACUGAUGUUGUCUUGGUGGUCCUUUCAUACUCAAGAUUUUUUACAUCAGAGGCCUUGUGUAGGUCCAAUUCCUGAAGCUACCUUUCCUUCCUGCUCCCUCUUGCUAUACCAGUAAACUUCCCUGAGACUGA